GAUAAACGCUGGCGGCGUGCCUUAUGCAUGCAAGUCGAACGGGUCACCUUUGGUGACCAGUGGCAAACGGGUGAGUAACGCGUAAGUAACCUGCCCUUAAGUAGGGGAUAACUCUGAGAAAUUGGAGCUAAUACCUUAUGUGGUGAUGGAGGUAAGGCCCCAUCACUAAAGCCCUAGGGUGCUUAAGGAGGAGCUUGCGUCCGAUUAGCUAGUUGGUAGGGUAAUGGCUUACCAAGGCAACGAUCGGUAGCUGGUUUGAGAGGAUGUCCAGCCACACUGGGAUUGAGAUACGGCCCAGACUCCUACGGGAGGCAGCAGCAAGGAAUAUUGUGCAAUGGGCGAAAGCCUGACACAGCGACGUCGCGUGGGGGAUGAAGGCCUUCGGGUUGUAAACCCCUUUUCUCAAGGAAGAAUAAUGACGGUACCUGAGGAAUAAGUCUCGGCUAACUACGUGCCAGCAGCCGCGGUAAUACGUAGGAGGCUAGCGUUAUCCGGAUUUACUGGGCGUAAAGAGGGCGUAGGCGGCUUUUCAAGUCGGAUGUGAAAUCUCCCGGCUUAACUGGGAGGGAUAAUCCGAUACUGUUGGGCUAGAGGGCAGCAGAGGGAGGUGGAAUUCCCGGUGUAGUGGUGAAAUGCAUAGAUAUCGGGAGGAACACCAGUGGCGAAGGCGGCCUCCUGGGCUGUUUCUGACGCUGAGGCCCGAAAGCGUGGGGAGCGAACAGAAUUAGAUACUCUGGUAGUCCACGCUGUAAACGAUGGACACUAGGUAUGGGGAGUAUCGACCCUCUCUGUGCCGAAGCUAACGCAUUAAGUGUCCCGCCUGGGGACUACGGCCGCAAGGCUA
rnacentral:rRNA from 1 species